UAAUGAAAUGGUUAUAAAACAAAAAAAUAAAAAAGAAAUUUUAUUAAAAAAUGAUGGCCAAUUAAAUGGCCUUGUUAAGUUAUCUUAUAAAAAUAUGUUGAAAGAUAAAGAAAUAAAAAUAAAAUUUGAACCGUCUAAUUUUAUUUUAAAAUCGAAAGAAAAACAAAUUGUAAAUGUUAUUAUAUAUUCAAAAGUACCACAAAAAUAUGAAUCAAUUAUAACAUGUUCUAUCAUUGAAAUACCAAAAAGGGUAGAAAAAAAAAUUAAUUACGAGUUAGAAAAAAAAGUUACUUUUGAAUCUGAAAUAAAAAAAAACAAUUUACAAACAACUAUUAAUCCUUAUGAAACAAAAAAAAAAACAGAAAAUGAAGAAAAUUUUGUAUCAAAAAUAAUUAAAAUAUUAAACAAAGAAAAUAUACAAGUCUGUUUAAUAAAAAAACAGAUUAACGCACAUAUGAUUUUUGUUUUACCACAUAUUAUUAUUUUGUGUGACCAAAAUAAGGAAAUUUUUAAUAAAGAUAUAAUCAAUUUUGGGAAUAUAACAUUAGGCCAAAAAAUAACUAAAACGUUUUUUUUGAAAAAUUUGACAAAUGCUCCAAUUAACGUAGUGGCCAAAAAACAAAAAGGGAACAGCGUUUUUACAUUUCCCAUCGAUAAAUUAACAUUAAAAGAAAAAAGUACAGAAGCCGUUUCGAUUAAUGUUAACGGCAAUAAUCCUGUUAGUAAUUAUACAGAAGUAAUUCGAUUUAAAGCAUGUAACGAUUAUUCUAUUGAACUUUUUUUAUUAUGUGAAAUUAAAAAUAUAAAAUUGGUUUUACAGAAGACUUUAUAUAUAUUUGAAAAUACCAAAAUAGGAGAUACAAUAAAUGAAAAAAUAGUAAUAAGAAAUGAUGAAGAUACAGACUUAGAUGUAGAAAUUAUAAAUUCAGGAUAUUUUUUUUAUAUAAAAAAUAAAAAAUUUAUAAUAAAAAAAAAUAGUUUUCAUUCUAUAUAUCUAGUAUGUAAUUGUAUUUAUCCAAUCAAUGUAUAUAAAAGAAUAUAUUUUUUAGUACAUUUAAAUAAAAAAAUAUUUUAUAUAGAUGUUAUUUGUAACUUUUCUAUAAGUUAUAAAAUGCCUCCUUUGUCUAUUCAUCACAUAUAUAGAUAUAAAAAUUUAAUUCAUGACAAAAAUAUAGUAUACAAUUCAUAUUAUGAAAAAAAUGAGUAUAUUGAUAUAUGGGAUUUUCCAGUCGAGUUUGAUUCGUAUGAAGAUACUACAUACGAGUUGCUGAAUGAUAUAUUGGAAAUAAGUGAAAAAGACGUAUUUGCAGUACCUAAAGAAUUAGAAGUACAAGAAAUGGAAGAAAAAGAUUUAAUGUUAAUAAAUAAAACGCCAGUUGAAUAUACAUGUGUAUGGUUAAAUGCAGUUGAUAAACAGGAGCAGGGAACUUUUGAAGUAACUCCUAAAGAAGCACCGUUGUUGCCAUUCGGCUAUCAAAAAUUUAGAGUAAAAAACAUAAAAGGUUUAAAAAAAAAAUAUGUAUGUGAAGUAUACGAAUGUAUUGUGUUUCCGUCUAAUAACAAAGACUAUACGAAAUGUAACAGCAAGACAUUAUUAGCACCUUUUUUUAUAUAUGCUACUUUUUUUCAAUUUAAUACAAAAUAUAUAUGUGAAACAGAAAACGUGCAAGACAGUUUAGUUUUUUAUCCAAAAAAUAUAUCCUUUUUAAAUAUAAUUGAGGAAGAAUAUAGUUAUGCUAUUGUCAAAUUUGAAAAUAACUCAGAAGUUACUCAAAUUAUUGAUUUCACUCCAUAUAAAAAUGAAGCCGAAAGCAUAAAGGUAUAUCCACAAAUAAAUUAUGUUCCUAAAAAAAGCUUUUUAAAUGUAAUUAUUUUUUACUCCCCCAAAAAAAAACAAUCAAAUAACUCUGAAAUAAAAAUAUACUAUUUAGUAAAUGGAAUUGAAAAAAAUUAUAUAUCUGUUUUGGUUUCCCAUGAAAUGAACAACGUUAUGUUAAAUGCAGGAGAUACUAACAUAAACUUACCAUGUGUAGGUACCGAAACUGAAAGUUACAAAAAAGUGAAUAUUGAAAAUUUAACAGAAAGAAAUGUUUUAUGUGUACUAAUAAAAGAAGAUGUAGAGAAACUUGUUAAUAUUGAUAUAGAUGGGAAUAACGAUCCUGUUGAUAAUAAAAAAGAAACCAAUUUAAACGAAUUGAAUAACACAACUGUUGAUAAUGAAAAUAUAAAACAUAGUAGUUCAUUUAUUGAUGAUGAUGAAAAACUAUAUAAUUUUUAUUUUUUUUGUCUUUCACCUUUUGAAAAAAAAAAUAUACAUAUUUCUGCUAUUUGUAAUUUUAGUAUAACCAAAUCGAUUCCUUUACUCUUCAAUUAUUUAUUAUAUAUAAACGAUGCAGACAUGGAAAAUAAAUUCAUAUAUUUAAAAAAAAACAUGAAUGAUCAUAUAAAAAGUUCAAACAAGUUUUCUAUUAAUAUUAAUAUAGUAAAAAGUUCAUUAAUGGUUUAUCCGAAAUUAAUUGAAAGUGAAUUGAUUCUACCUGGAAAACAGUUUAAUGCGAAGAUAACAGUAAAAAAUAAACACCCAGUGAUUAUAAAUUUUAAGACUAAAACUAAAAUUGUUCAAAUAGAUGGCAUCGAUGUUUUUGAUGAAAAAGAAGUUAUAGAAGCAGAAGAAAAUAUAAUAUCAAACAAUAAUGAAUAUGUAAUAAAUCCCUUUUCUGAAAAAAAUAUAAUCGUGAGUUUUAACACUAGCCGAAAGGGGGUAUUUUUGUAUCGUUUUUUUGUCAUGAUAGCAGGUAAGAUAAAAAAAAAAAAAAAAACUGCCAUUUGUUUUAAUGUAUAAACAUAUAUAUAUGUAUGUAUAUAUACAUGCAUAUACACAUAUAACAUACUUUCGUAAUAAACCCUAAAAUUUUUUUUUUCUCA
ensembl:lncRNA